GUGAGUUAGGACAAGGAAGAAACAGUCUAAGAGUGGUGAGAAUGGGAACAUGGAGGAAACCCUAAGCUAUCCGUCUGCACAGCUAGAAAUAGAGGUGGAUAUUAGCCUCAGCUUUUUCCCCUUGCCUCCCAUUCCCAUUGUUCUUAGGUUUUCCUUCCCUUCCUUUUAGCU
rnacentral:pre_miRNA from 1 species